UUUCUGAAACAUUCAACGUGGCAGGGAAAAAUGUUCUACUUUUUAGCCCAACUCCAACGCGGUUUACGCAAAUUUGAUGGCGUUUUCCACGCUUCCUGAUGUGGAAAAAUGCACUUACAUUAUUAUGAAAGUAACAUAUGAACCACAUAAAUAUCACCGGAUCAAGGAGAAAAAGUCAAAAGAAAAAAUUGCACGAUAAAAAAUUAACUACUUACUAGUACUUUUGCCAUUCUUACUGGAAAGAAGGUAUACAUCUACAGUCACCAUGAAGAGUCAAGACCCUUUUAUGAUUUUUUUAAUGCAAAAGCUACAUUCAAGAAUUUUAUAAAUAAUAACUAGGUGGAAGCCUCUUUAUAAAAUAGCGUACUUAGACCAAAAUAAUGGUAGGUAAAAAUCUAUUAGGAUUCGGUUUUUUCACCAAAUUAAUGAAUACACGCUCAUUAAAGGCAACAUUAUUUUUUAAACUAACAAAUACAGUAGGUAACAACCAUCCAAACAAGAAUUUUAUUUUAUAUAUAUAUAUACACACAAGGCCUCAUCAUAAAACAACCACUCCUUAGUUCCACGAGAAACUAAAGAGAAUGAAACAGAGAGACUGUGAAGAGUAUUCAAAACUUUGAGAAAGGACAAUGAUCAUUAGGGGUGCAACAUGAUCCGGUAAGUCUAGGCUUUUCAUAGAUCUAGCCGAUUUAUUUCCGAUAGAGGCUGUGAAUAUAAGAAGUACACGUGUACAAAUGUUUUGAUAUAUUUACUCACAACUCUGUCUCAAUGGAAACUAGCAUCAAAAGUUGUUCACAAAUCAGCAAAGGGUCUUCUGUUCUGCCUUGUGCAUUAUUCUCGGUAAAAAUGCUACCGCAUCGUGACUAUAUAUCAAGACCUUUGUACACUUGUAUUUUGUAACUAUUCACAAAUCUCGGCCGGAAAAUGAUUGACUUUAGAUCAAUGGAAAGUCUAGAUUUUCCAAUCUCGGUUACUAUCAUAACUAUCACCACCUUAUCCUUUGUAUCGACGGGGGAAUAUAUGAAGGAAUCCAAAGUUAGAUCCUGUCAGAAACUAAUAAGAGGCUGAUCUUGCUUGUAAGGAACAAAUGAAUGAUGCAAUACUCAUCAUUUAUGAGUUACAACUCUGUAAACAAGAGAAAAUUGGUGAAACAAAGAGACUCUGAAUGAGAAUUGAAAUUAAAGCUGAGGGACCUUGUGAUCUUUCUCAGUGGACUCAGUUAUGGUCUAUGUUAAUUUUCUGUAUUUUCUUUAUUUUUAUUGUCCCCGAUACUUGCAUAAUCUUUGAUUACUUUGCUCUCAAAUUUGUGUCUUCCUUGGAUCAAUUGAGGAGUCAAUUCCUCUUAUGGUUAUUCAAAUUAAGGAAACUACCUGAUAAAGCUAUU